GUGGGCAUGAUGGUGAUGGGUUGAUGGUUGGACUUGGUGAUCUUAGAGGUCCAUUCCAACCUUAAUCAUUCUAUAAUGCUAUGAUUCUAAUCAAGCAAAACUAAUAGUUCUUAAGUAAGUGAUUCGGAAAGCUGCUUCGGAGCUUUCCCAGCCAAAACCGCAGCGACUGAUCACGAGGUACAGGCGGGUUUCGCUUGGCUCCUUCAUGCAGGGAUCCCCGAGAUAACACAGCAGCUCGGCAGCUCUCGCGAGAGCGGCUGACGUGAAGCGCCAGGGCAACGGCUCUGCUUCUCUCCUCUUCCUUGAAAGAGCCUCAAGGGCGGAGAGGAGGAGUCAGGGUGUGUGAUUCACGUGGUCCACGUUCAGACGAGGAGGAACGGUAAGGCCAUGGAAAGGGCCAUAGCAGAUCUAAGGUUGCAGAGCUUUCAUGUGUGUUGCUGCUGGACAUCUGAAGAAAAUGGUAGAGGGAAAGGACUUUCCAGGGAAUUAGUUGCUUUGUGUCCCAGCUGGAGGAAAAGAGGGAAGAAAGUCACUGCACACUCCUGUUGCUUGAGGAGACCCUUGGCCAGUCCACCACCUCUGGAUUUCUACUGACCUCUUCUCCAGAAAGUGUAAAAAUAAUGAUAUUGCUCUUUUGAGGGAGAAGUAUGAUAGACUGGAAUAACCUUGUGGCACUUGACUGAAUAUUGCCCUGAAGGAAUUUGGAUGCUGGAUGGGACAAAUUUCUAGAGAAGAGGCAAAGAAGAGGAACAUACUGAGGAAUACUGAGAAAUAAAGGCUCACAUUCCUGACUACUAAGUUGUUUUGCAAACCAAUUCUCAUGCAUACCAAGGGAAGGAAGUGAUGUUCCACUGCAUUUUCAACUUAGGUAUCCCAGAACACAUAGAAGACAAGAGAAAGAGGCUGAGAUGAGGAAGAGUUGCACAAAAGAAGAGCAAUAGAAAUUUCAGAGAUGAUCUGAGUACAAGGAUGA